GAUGAACGCUAGCUACAGGCUUAACACAUGCAAGUCGAGGGGAAACGACAUCGAAAGCUUGCUUUUGAUGGGCGUCGACCGGCGCACGGGGGAGUAACGCGUAUCCAACCUGCCCACCACUUGGGGAUAACCUUGCGAAAGUAAGACUGAUACCCAAUGACGUCUUUAGAAGACAUCUGAAGGAGACUAAAGAUUUAUCGGUGAUGGAUGGGGAUGCGUCUGAUUAGCUUGUUGGCGGGGUAACGGCCCACCAAGGCGACGAUCAGUAGGGGUUCUGAGAGGAAGGUCCCCCACAUUGGAACUGAGACACGGUCCAAACUCCUACGGGAGGCAGCAGUGAGGAAUAUUGGUCAAUGGGCGAGAGCCUGAACCAGCCAAGUAGCGUGCAGGAUGACGGCCCUAUGGGUUGUAAACUGCUUUUAUAAGGGAAUAAAGUGAGUCUCGUGAGACUUUUUGCAUGUACCUUAUGAAUAAGGACCGGCUAAUUCCGUGCCAGCAGCCGCAGUAA
rnacentral:rRNA from 1 species